UACAGAGGUCUCAAGCGUUGUUCGGAUUCAUUGGGCGUAAAGGGUGUGUAGGUGGCGCCGUAAGUCGGGUGUGAAAUUUCGGAGCUUAACUCCGAAACUGCAUUCGAUACUGCGGUGCUUGAGGACUGGAGAGGAGACUGGAAUUUACGGUGUAGCAGUGAAAUGCGUAGGUAUCGUAAGGAAGACCAGUGGCGAAGGCGGGUCUCUGGACAGUUCCUGACACUGAGACACGAAGGCCAGGGGAGCAAACGGG
rnacentral:rRNA from 1 species